ACCUACGGGGGCUAGACCUGUGGUGUCAUCAUCCAUACGGUUCUACCGUCUGGUAGUUGUAGCAAUAUUAUUAUCGUUAGUAGCACACGCCUGACAUAAUAUUUUGAUAAAUCUAAUACAUUUUUAGAUUUAAAUAUGACUUUAAUAACUGAAUAAAUACUUUUCUUCUACAAAAAUAUAGAGAGACACUCUCGUUGAAUAUUGUUUUAGUAACGUAUGGGUAAGAUUUUCUAAACGAAGUGUGGCAACCCCAAUUACUUAAUAAAAAAUAAAUAUGUUAUAAAAUGAAAAUGGCGUCAUUUCACCAAAUAAAACACGAAUUCACGAAUAAUAAAAUAAAUGUUUGCCACGGCCUGUUAAUAUUUAUGAAGACCUCUUCAUGGAUUGGAUUUAAGCAACCUGCUGUGUAAUAUCCUCGCCAUUCUUGAUGUUGAGAAGAUCUAUAAGUCUUUUGCGUUUCAUCUGAGUGUUGUGGUUUUUCAUUAUGUUAAAAAUAAGACUUUGUUAGUUCAAGUGUCUCUAUAACUAUGAAGAAGAACAAAAGAAAAUGCUUUGAGUGUGGUUCUUCGCCUGCCGAUGAUCCAGAGAAGACCCUACAGAGAUUACAGAAAUUUGAUUCUACAAAUUUAGUCUCCGUAAUGUCCAGAUAAUCAAUGAUUAGACUAUUGGACUUUUAGAAUAAAUUUUACAUUGAACUAUGAAUGGUUUGUCAUCUACAUUUUUAAAAAAGACGAGAUGUUUUGCCUGUAAGAACAAGAGAGAGAGAGAAUAAGAAGCAAUCCUGCUUCUUCACAUGAAUUUUACCCGCAUGACGACGGUUUUUAAUAUAAAAAAUAUUUACACAAUGUCUCAAAAAGCAAUCAAAGCUUUCAAAAAUAAACAAUGUUCGCAGAAGUUCAGUACCAACAAACUCACAAAAAAUGAGUUCAAAAUUUAGCAUUACUUGCAAGCCAGACUAAGAAAUUUCAAGAAGAUAAUUUAAAAGAAGACAAUAGAAUAAAAUAAUAUUAACACACAAUGCUUAGCAAAUAUAGCAUUAACAGAUGAAAACCAGGCAAUAGGUAUGUUAAAAUAGGUUAUGUUUCAUAGAAGCUAUUUUAAUCCUACACAUCCAUCAUUUAUCAUUGUCUCCAUAUAGUAGAGGAGGUAUGGAGCUGAGACCCAACACACUGCUCCAAUGCUGUUGGUGGGCUUAGGGUGAUAAUGUUCAAUUAAUUAAUUACCACUAUCUGAUGCUAAUGUUAAUAAUCGGGAUUAAAGGUUUCCCAACUUCAGGAUGAGAAUUUAACUGAUUUUUUUUACAAUUUUCAUAAUCUAUUCUUCACAUUUUUCACUUAAUAAAAUUCUUUUAGUUUUUGUUUGUUUUUAACCUGGUGAAAAUAUGUGAAAUUUUGCUAUCGGCUUCCCAACUCCAAGAUGAGAAUUUGACUGAAUUUUUUUUUACAUUUUUAACCGAUUUUAAAAAAAGAAGGAGGUUCUCAAUUCGAGUCUAUGUUUUUUUUUCAUAAUCUAUUCUUCACAUUUUUCACUUAAUAAAAUUCUUUUAGUUUUUAUUUGUUUUUUAACUGGUGAAAAUACAUAAAAUUU